rnacentral:rRNA from 1 species
UACGGGGGGGGCAAGCGUUGUUCGGAAUUACUGGGCGUAAAGGGCUCGUAGGCGGCCAACUAAGUCAGACGUGAAAUCCCUAGGCUCAACCUAGGAACUGCGUCUGAUACUGGAUGGCUUGAAUCCGGGAGAGGGAUGCAGAAUUCCAGGUGUAGCGGUGAAAUGCGUAGAUAUCUGGAGGAAUACCGGUGGCGAAGGCGGCAUCCUGGACCGACAUUGACGCUGAACGGCGAAAGCUAGGGGAGCAAACGGG